GGCAUGCAGGAAAGUGGGGUUGGGGUGGGGGAACGGGAGGUGCUACUUGGGGGUGGAGAGAGAGAGAGAGAGAGACUGCCUUGCUGAGAUCCUUCCCAUCUUUUACAUCAGUCUUAAAAGUAGAGGAGGAGGACCGCUGCUCCGGGGGCACCUGGGCUCCCUCGCUCUCCAAAGCCGACAGAACCCCCUCUCCCUCCACCAAAAUAUUUUCUAUGUGCCCUGCCCCUUCCUUUCGGGGAAAGAGAAGAAGAAGAAAUAACAAGCCCCCCACCGAGGAGGCUCUCGGAGCGGCGGCAGCAGCAGCAGCAGCAACUCUGGCCAAGGAAAAGCAGGAGAGGCUUCGUUACUUCCGUUGCUAUGGUUACUGGAGGCAGCUCCGAGCAGUCUUUCCCACACAGGAGACACAGGGUUACUCUGAUCCCUGGAGGUGAAGGCCAGGCAGGCACCCCACUCCAAGCACUGCUGCUGCUGCUGCUGCUGCUGCUGAGCCCUUUUUUACUUUUCAAGAUUGCAGCCUGGUCACCCAGAGCACAACAAAGAGUCACUGCCCACAGAGUGCAACUCCCCACAGGUGACAGGAAGAUAUCGUCGUCGCAGUCACCCUCUUCUCUUUUUCAACAAGGAGCAGGCUCACUGGCUGGAACAAGCAAGGGCAUGGCUGCAGGGGCACUCAGAUGUCACUCCUUCCACACCAUCACUUGCUUACAGUUCUCCGUUUUUAGCUUUUUAAAUCACUUUUUAAAAAAUCAAAUUAAAAGUUAUCUUAAAUGUG